GGAGGCAUGGCUCAGUUGGUUAGAGCACACGGUUCACAUCCGUGAGGUCACAGGUUCGAGUCCUGUUGCCUCCACCA
rnacentral:tRNA from 3 species